rnacentral:rRNA from 1 species
GGAGGAGCUUGCUUCUCCGGAUGAGUUGCGAACGGGUGAGUAACGCGUAGGUAACCUGCCUGGUAGCGGGGGAUAACUAUUGGAAACGAUAGCUAAUACCGCAUAAGAGUAGAUGUUGCAUGACAUUUGCUUAAAAGGUGCAAUUGCAUCACUACCAGAUGGACCUGCGUUGUAUUAGCUAGUUGGUGGGGUAACGGCUCACCAAGGCGACGAUACAUAGCCGACCUGAGAGGGUGAUCGGCCACACUGGGACUGAGACACGGCCCAGACUCCUACGGGAGGCAGCAGUAGGGAAUCUUCGGCAAUGGACGGAAGUCUGACCGAGCAACGCCGCGUGAGUGAAGAAGGUUUUCGGAUCGUAAAGCUCUGUUGUAAGAGAAGAACGAGUGUGAGAGUGGAAAGUUCACACUGUGACGGUAUCUUACCAGAAAGGGACGGCUAACUACGUGCCAGCAGCCGCGGUAAUACGUAGGUCCCGAGCGUUGUCCGGAUUUAUUGGGCGUAAAGCGAGCGCAGGCGGUUAGAUAAGUCUGAAGUUAAAGGCUGUGGCUUAACCAUAGUACGCUUUGGAAACUGUUUAACUUGAGUGCAAGAGGGGAGAGUGGAAUUCCAUGUGUAGCGGUGAAAUGCGUAGAUAUAUGGAGGAACACCGGUGGCGAAAGCGGCUCUCUGGCU